rnacentral:lncRNA from 13 species
UUAAGAAUCAGUAGAUGCCUGGACAGCUCAGCCCCAGAUUGCCUGGCCACUCUUGACAAGGGUCCAGGCUAUACUCAGAGGAGGAACAUGACAGUCAUCUCCCCAGGACAGCCCAGGACAAGACCUCACUACACAGCCCAGCUGGAAGGAAGGCGCCGCCACCUGUGAGGAAGAGGAUUCUUAUCAGUCACCAGUCUGCCAGCUCCUUGAUUCUGAACUUCCUAGCCUCCAGGACUAUUGCUUGUUUUGAAGGAAGCCAGUGUUGCAAGGAUAUUGAAGCAGCCCCACAGAGAAGCCCAGAUGAAGAGAACUGACCUGCCAGCCAUAGUUUUUCUGUCUUCAUUGCCUCAAGCCUUCAUCAUCUCUCAUCUAGG